rnacentral:rRNA from 1 species
AUUGAACGCUGGCGGCAGGCUUAACACAUGCAAGUCGAGCGGAGAUGAGGUGCUUGCACCUUAUCUUAGCGGCGGACGGGUGAGUAAUGCUUAGGAAUCUGCCUAUUAGUGGGGGACAACAUUCCGAAAGGAAUGCUAAUACCGCCUACGACCUACGGGAGAAAGCAGGGGAUCUUCGGACCUCGCGCUAAUAGAUGAGCCUAAGUCGGAUUAGCUAGUUGGUGGGGUAAAGGCCUACCAAGGCGACGAUCUGUAGCGGGUCUGAGAGGAUGAUCCGCCACACUGGGACUGAGACACGGCCCAGACUCCUACGGGAGGCAGCAGUGGGGAAUAUUGGACAAUGGGGGGAACCCUGAUCCAGCCAUGCCGCGUGUGUGAAGAAGGCCUUAUGGUUGUAAAGCACUUUAAGCGAGGAGGAGGCUACUGAGACUAAUACUCUUGGAUAGUGGACGUUACUCGCAGAAUAAGCACCGGCUAACUCUGUGCCAGCCGCCGCCGUAAAAC